AGAAGUAAAAACUUCAGCCUUGG
rnacentral:piRNA from 1 species